UACAGUUUAACAAGGAUUUGUAUAGUGUCACUGUACAAAUCCUUGAGUUUAAAGAAUGGAAAGAUAUAUUAUAGUCAGGUAGAUAAUACAAAGAACUCUGGUUUUUCAAAACCGAUGGGUCAAAAAGUUAUUAGUAUGAACAGAUAAACCGGGGAACGAAAGAAAGUUGUGUUUCUCUUAACAGAUUACGUACCCAAUAUUUUGUACUUGGAAAGCGCAACGAAAGCUGACUCAAAAUCAUGCAUGAUGAUGCUGUUUGGGCCCCCUGGUUGUACAUAGGAAGUGGACUCCUCGAGAAGAUGAAAGGUCUGCUUUACAUCAUUUUCAAUGAAAGUACAAGUACUUUGAGAAGUAGGAGAAGCUAAGCAACAGAACAGAAU